UUUUUAAUGCAUUUACUACCACGUUUGAAAUAAAAGAUCAUGAAUGCAAGUCGUGGUUUUAUCCAUGAGAAUACUGGUCCCCUAUGUUUCUUAAUUACUUAUUUCCUACAUGAGGGGCAUAUUUAUAGUAUAUUAAGCAAAGGUUUAUAUUUCCAGUUGAGCCCAUAGACGGGGUCUGCGAGGAUAACUUGCCGCACUGUGGACAAUGGUUUUCGGAUGGCAACUGCGCAAAUAGGUGGUAUAAAAACUACCUAACGUUACACUGUCCUAAGAGUUGCAAACACUGUACCCAGUCCUGAACAGUCAGCCAGGCACAGAAGCAGAAAAUGGCAGGAGGCCGAAGACGUCUGCAAGCUGAACGAGCUUUGCUUGUUGCUGUUUUUGUUUUCUUGUCUUUAUAGCCAGUUUAGAAUGCAUGUCAAAGAAGCGGUUGUAAAGCGCUCAUCUUUAUUGACCAUAAUAAAGCACAAAAAAAGACAAUAAUAA